UACGUAGGGACCGAGCGUUGUCCGGAAUCAUUGGACGUAAAGAGCGUGUAGGCGGCCACUUAAGUCCUGCGUGAAAUCUUGCGGCUCAACCGCAAGCGGUCGCGGGAAACUGGGUGGCUAGAGUGCGGGAGAGGAGAGUGGAAUUCCUGGUGUAGCGGUGGAAUGCGCAGAUAUCAGGAAGAACACCCGUGGCGAAGGCGGCUCUCUGGAACGCAACUGACGCUGAGACGCGAAAGCGUGGGGAGCAAACAGG
rnacentral:rRNA from 1 species